rnacentral:rRNA from 1 species
UACGUAGGGGGCAAGCGUUGUCCGGAAUUAUUGGGCGUAAAGCGCGCGCAGGCGGUCAUUUAAGUCUGGUGUUUAAACCUUGGGCUCAACCUGGGGUCGCACUGGAAACUGGGUGACUUGAGUACAGAAGAGGAAAGUGGAAUUCCACGUGUAGCGGUGAAAUGCGUAGAUAUGUGGGAGGAACACCAGUGGCGAAGGCGACUUUCUGGGCUGUAACUGACGGCUGAGGCG